rnacentral:rRNA from 1 species
GAUGAACGCUGGCGGCGUGCCUAAUACAUGCAAGUCGAGCGAACAGACGAGGAGCUUGCUCCUCUGACGUUAGCGGCGGACGGGUGAGUAACAUGUGGAUAACCUACCUAUAAGACUGGGAUAACUUCGGGAAACCGGAGCUAAUACCGGAUAAUAUAUUGAACCGCAUGGUUCAAUAGUGAAAGACGGUUUUGCUGUCACUUAUAGAUGGAUCCGCGCCGCAUUAGCUAGUUGGUAAGGUAACGGCUUACCAAGGCAACGAUGCGUAGCCGACCUGAGAGGGUGAUCGGCCACACUGGAACUGAGACACGGUCCAGACUCCUACGGGAGGCAGCAGUAGGGAAUCUUCCGCAAUGGGCGAAAGCCUGACGGAGCAACGCCGCGUGAGUGAUGAAGGUCUUCGGAUCGUAAAACUCUGUUAUUAGGGAAGAACAAAUGUGGAAGUAACUAUGCACGUCUUGACGGUACCUAAUCAGAAAGCCACGGCUAACUACGUG